rnacentral:rRNA from 1 species
UACGUAGGAGGCGAGCGUUGUCCGGAAUUACUGGGCGUAAAGAGCGCGUAGACGGCGCUGUACGACCCGUGUGAAAGCCCCCGGCUCAACUGGGGAGGGUCACGGGUAACGGCAGUGCUCUGAGUGCAGGAGAGGGAAGUGGAACUCCGGGAGUAGCGGUGAAAUGCGUAGAGACCCGGAGGAACACCGGUGGCGAAGGCGGCUUCCUGGUCUGCAACUGACGCUGUGGCGCGAAAGCUAGGGGAGCAAACGGG